rnacentral:lncRNA from 1 species
CCCCCCUGCUCUCCAACGCCGGUGAGCCCCCCUCCCCCGGCCUCCUCUUUCCCCCUCUCCGCUCGCCCCGUACAGCCGCUCGUCGUGCUCCCGGCCUCGCCGCGCUUACACGCCACGCGCGCGCGAGCCCGCGCCCGCUCGCGCAGCGCAUCGUGGCCUCGUCCUCGGCCGUCACCCGCCCGCGCCCACGCGCCGCUGUCGCCCGGUCCGCGCGCUGGCCGCGCCAUGGCCGGCGUCGCCGCCCCCUGGUGGCCUCGGGCAUGCACGGGCGCCCACGCCCGCAACGCCCCUGCGCCCGUUAACCCACAUGGCCUCCUGGGCCACUUACCAGUGGGCCCGCCCCUGUUAAAAAAAGAAUAAAAAGAAAUAUGUAAAAUAAUAAUAAUAAUUAAAACUAAUUAAUUAACUUAAUUAAUCAUGUUAAUUAACCUAAUUAACUUAUUAGCUAAUUAAAUUGUUAAUUAGUGUUAGUCAAUGACACCCGGGACCCACGUGCUAGUUUGACCAGUCAAACAGUCUGUUGACUGAUGACAUCAUGCUGAUGUCAUGCUGACAUAGUAAUGGCUUUUAUCUAUUUAAAUUAAUUUUAUUAAUUUAGAAAAUGAAUUAAAACUUUGGAAAUUAAUAGAAACUAAUCCGUAGCUCGGAUGAAAAAGUUUUAUACAUUAAAGUUGCUUAGAACGACGAGAAUAAUCCGAAUAGGCGGUCUGUUCGCCCGGACAUGCCCCUAGCAUAGCAAACAUGCAACCUUUCCCCUCCAUUUCGUCUGCCCGAAAAUGCCAAACUUCGAGAAAACAUUCCCGGAUGUUUUUCCCCUUCGCUGGUAGCGUGUAGCACCGCGCUAGAACACGUCUAGCUCUAUCUGUUGUGAUGUUAUGCUCUUGCUUGUGAUGUAUUUACUGUUUCUUCCCCCUCUUCUCUCCGGUAGACCCCGAGACCGAUGUUGAUGUCCCUGUGAUCAACUACGUCGACGAUGACCGUCCUUCUUGUCUGAGCAACCAGGCAAGCCCCCCCCCCCCUUUGAUCCUCCCGAUAUCGCACAUUUUAUACUCUCAUGCUUGCAUUAGAUUUUGCUACUGUUAUUGUUUGCUCCUAUUCUGAUGCAUAGCCUGCUUUUGUAUCUGCUAUUGUUACCUACCUGCUUAUCCUAAACUGCUUAGUAUAGGUUGGCUAGUGAUCCAUCAGUGACCCCCACCUUGUCCUUGUCGCCCCUGCUUCAUCAUCGACGACCCGAUCAACGUGAUCGACGACCAGAGCCCGACACCUCACAUCACAUCACGCCCCUUUUGUUGCUUGACUCUGCAGAGCUACUAUCGAGUACCGAGGGUGAUCCCUCAUAACGCACUCCUGAUGAAAAUUCUGUAGUGUAGCUAUUUAGUCGUGGUCAUCGAGGGUGAUUUCCUCUUUCACCAUUCCCGAUACGGCUCUGUCGUUCAACACCUCAAGUGUGAACCUCGAGGGUGGUCCCUCUUACGUUCACCUUGAUGAUUACAUUGAGUGGAAUCCACCGGGAGUGAUUCCUCGGGUUUUCCCUUGAUGUCUGGACACACAAUUACCUUGACUUUACUUGAGACCUUGGUGAAAGUCAGGCGGGCCCGGAGAGCACCCGCAAUAUAAUGACGUGGCACGGCCGGGCAUUCUAGGACCUUGUCGUAAGUCCACGAGACGGGACGACAAGAUCACUUUCGAUCGUGAGUCUCUGCUCGUCUCCGCAAGCUAAUAAUGCACUAUGGUUUGGGUAUUUGUUCUGAGUUGGCCUUUGGCCUUUACGCAUCAACCACCACGUGAGAAUAGUUAUGGGCCUCGACGUCGUGGUAUCAGCCGAAGCUUUGUCAGACGUCCAGUUCAGCAUUGCGGCACGGCCUGGUCGGCGCCCCAGUGGAGGUGGCCUGGAUCGCCCUGCGCGCAACGAUCCGGAGUGCAACGGGUGAUGGGCCCAGACCCCGGAGUGCUUAGGAUGUAGACCGGCGGGCACCUCUCUACUGAGCCUAGGUAGGCUACGACGUGUUGAUCUUCCAAGGCCUUCCAAGGCCGGGCAUUGACCCAGAAAAGUGUGUCCGGCCAGAGUGAUCGAGCGUGUUGGAAAAUGUGAUGCAUCCCUGCAGGGAAGAUUAUCUAUUAAUAGCCGUGUCCACGGUAACGGACGUUCAGACUUAUAUCCUGGUCUUAUACAACUACGAAUGGAUACUUGAAAUAUGUGGCUCCGGGAUUGCUUUCUCGCAGGGAGUCGAGGAAGGAUCUCUGGGCAUUAAUGUUACAACAUGCUUAUUAUUUAUAAAACUGCUAUUCUUUACUCUUCUACAUGCUGCAAGAUGCGAGGAGCUGCGUGAAGAUGCUAGUCUUUGAUAGGCUAGGCCUUCCCCUUCUAUUCUGGCAUUUUGCAGUUCAGUCCAUAGAUACAAACCUUCCAUUUGAUACCGGUGCAUACUUAGUAUUGAUCUGAUGCUUGCGAGUACUUUGGAUGAGUACUCACGGUUGCUUUGCUACACCUUUCUCCCUUCUUUCUUCUUUCCGGUUGAUGCAACCAGAUGGUGGAUCCUUGGAGCCAGAUGCCACCGCCGACGGAUACUGCUACGUGGAGACCGCCGAUGACCAGGAGUAGUUAGGAGGUCCCAGGCAGGAGGCCUUGCCUCUUCAAUCGUGUUGCUUUUGUGCUAGCCUUCUUAAGGAAAACUUUGUUUAACUUAUGUCUGUACUCAGAUAUUGUUGCUUCCGUUGAUCUCUUGUGUAUCGAGCUAUGUAUUCGAGCCCUCGAGGCCCCUGGCUUGUAAUAUAAAACUUGUAUUAUUUCAUUUGGUGUCUAGAGUUGUGUUGUGAUAUCUUCCCGUGAGUCCCUGAUCUUGAUCGUACACAUUUGCGUGUAUGAUUAAUGUACGAUUAAAUCGGGGGCGUCACUUCCGAUCUUCAGAUCUUCCGAUCUUCAGAUCUCCAUAUUUGGUGACUGCGGUGUUUUGAUAUUUCGUUGGAUUACUAUCUGUAUUUGGGGAUUAGCUAUGAAUUAAUGUUUUUACUUCGAGCAUGGAUAGUCGGCAGUACUGAUUUAGGUCUUUUUGUUGAACAGAAUGAUUAGCUCGUCUAUUUCUGGAGAACUGCACUAUAGAUGAUAUAUUUAUGAACGAUCUUAACACUGAAAAUGCAAAAUUUCUG